rnacentral:rRNA from 1 species
AUUGAACGCUGGCGGCAGGCCUAACACAUGCAAGUCGAGCGGAUGAAGGGAACUUGCUCCUGGAUUCAGCGGCGGACGGGUGAGUAAUGCCUAGGAAUCUGCCUGGUAGUGGGGGAUAACGUCCGGAAACGGGUGCUAAUACCGCAUACGUCCUGAGGGAGAAAGUGGGGGAUCUUCGGACCUCACGCUAUCAGAUGAGCCUAGGUCGGAUUAGCUAGUUGGUGGGGUAAAGGCCUACCAAGGCGACGAUCCGUAACUGGUCUGAGAGGAUGAUCAGUCACACUGGAACUGAGACACGGUCCAGACUCCUACGGGAGGCAGCAGUGGGGAAUAUUGGACAAUGGGCGAAAGCCUGAUCCAGCCAUGCCGCGUGUGUGAAGAAGGUCUUCGGAUUGUAAAGCACUUUAAGUUGGGAGGAAGGGCAGUAAGUUAAUACCUUGCUGUUUUGACGUUACCAACAGAAUAAGCACCGGCUAACUUCGUG